rnacentral:lncRNA from 1 species
GAGUAUCACUAGAGAUAGAGGAGGUGGUAGAGGAGGAGGGCGAUGAUUGUUGGUCGAGGAUUGUUAAAUAUAAAAAUGUUUAAACACCGUUCUCUAAAAGCUUAAGCUUUUAGAGUACAACGGUUGUUUCACAUGGUAUCAGAGCAGGAGGUCCUGAGUUCGAGUCACGCCAGGCUUCUAGCAUAUUAAUUUUCUCCCAUUUAAUUCAAGCCCACGUCAUGGGCCAACUAAAAAGUCUCGAGCCCAGACGUGAGGGAGAGUGUUAAAUAUAAAAAUAUUUAAACACUGUUCCCUAAUAGCUUAAGCUUUUAGAGUACAACGGUUGUUUCAUAUGGUAUCAGAGCAGGAGGUCCUGAGUUCGAGUCACGCCAGACUCCUAACAUAUUAAUAGCCAUGGUAGUGAAAUAAUAGUGAUUGUGAGAGGAAAAAAUCUGACGAAUAAUACGAUGUUGCAUUAUUUUAAAAAAAUAAAUAGUACAAUAUAUAUUCAGAUAGUAAAAUUUUUAAUAAAUAGUGCAAUAUCGCAUCAUCUGCCUGAUUUUUUCUUCUCACUACUGCCACCACGUUCUUUCGGCCACGAUCACCAAAAACAUGCUUCAAAAUCAUUCUUGACCAGUGAUCGCUACCCUCCUCCUUUCCCACCUUCGUCGAGCGGCCAUGACGACGAUCGGGUUCGUCAUUUUUCUCUCACUUAUAAUGUUUUCAUGAUGCAUACGCAAUGAAAGAGUUU